rnacentral:misc_RNA from 1 species
GUAGAAUUGGCAUGUCUUGUUUAUGGAUCUAUGCCCCAGGAACUUGAAGAGACUAGAUUCAUUUCCUCAAUGGUCGGCACCCCACUUUUGCAGAAUAAAUUGAAUGAUAAAGAUGUGAAAUUGAGAUCAUUCAAUCAAGAUCUGAAAGAAGUUGAUCUGCACUGUGAUGACAUUUCAUUAGACCAUUAUUCUUCCACUUAUCUGUUUUGGGCCAAGACAUGGAC